AUAUCGGCCCUUUUUAGGGCCACCAAUUUUUUUUGUACGAUGGAU
rfam:Trachymyrmex cornetzi contig60376, whole genome shotgun sequence.